rnacentral:piRNA from 1 species
UCUUCUAAACUAUUUCCCAAGAAAGGAUGC